GGUUAAGCGACUAAGCGUACACGGUGGAUGCCCUGGCAGUCAGAGGCGAUGAAGGACGUGCUAAUCUGCGAUAAGCGUCGGUAAGGUGAUAUGAACCGUUAUAACCGGCGAUUUCCGAAUGGGGAAACCCAGUGUGUUUCGACACACUAUCAUUAACUGAAUCCAUAGGUUAAUGAGGCGAACCGGGGAACUGAAACAUCUAAGUACCCCGAGGAAAAGAAAUCAACCGAGAUUCCCCAGUAGCGGCGAGCGAACGGGGAGCAGCCCAGAGCCUGAAUCAGUGUGUGUGUUAGUGGAAGCGUCUGGAAAGGCGCGCGAUACAGGGUGACAGCCCCGUACACAAAAAUGCACAUGCUGUGAGCUCGAUGAGUAGGGCGGGACACGUGGUAUCCUGUCUGAAUAUGGGGGACCAUCCUCCAAGGCUAAAUACUCCUGACUGACCGAUAGUGAACCAGUACCGUGAGGGAAAGGCGAAAAGAACCCCGGCGAGGGGAGUGAAAAAGAACCUGAAACCGUGUACGUACAAGCAGUGGGAGCACGCUUAGGCGUGUGACUGCGUACCUUUUGUAUAAUGGGUCAGCGACUUAUAUUCUGUAGCAAGGUUAACCGAAUAGGGGAGCCGAAGGGAAACCGAGUCUUAACUGGGCGUUAAGUUGCAGGGUAUAGACCCGAAACCCGGUGAUCUCAGCCAUGGGCAGGUUGAAGGUUGGGUAACACUAACUGGAGGACCGAACCGACUAAUGUUGAAAAAUUAGCGGAUGACUUGUGGCUGGGGGUGAAAGGCCAAUCAAACCGGGAGAUAGCUGGUUCUCCCCGAAAGCUAUUUAGGUAGCGCCUCGUGAAUUCAUCUCCGGGGGUAGAGCACUGUUUCGGCAAGGGGGUCAUCCCGACUUACCAACCCGAUGCAAACUGCGAAUACCGGAGAAUGUUAUCACGGGAGACACACGGCGGGUGCUAACGUCCGUCGUGAAGAGGGAAACAACCCAGACCGCCAGCUAAGGUCCCAAAGUCAUGGUUAAGUGGGAAACGAUGUGGGAAGGCCCAGACAGCCAGGAUGUUGGCUUAGAAGCAGCCAUCAUUUAAAGAAAGCGUAAUAGCUCACUGGUCGAGUCGGCCUGCGCGGAAGAUGUAACGGGGCUAAACCAUGCACCGAAGCUGCGGCAGCGACGCUGAUGCGUUGUUGGGUAGGGGAGCGUUCUGUAAGCCUGCGAAGGUGUGCUGUGAGGCAUGCUGGAGGUAUCAGAAGUGCGAAUGCUGACAUAAGUAACGAUAAAGCGGGUGAAAAGCCCGCUCGCCGGAAGACCAAGGGUUCCUGUCCAACGUUAAUCGGGGCAGGGUGAGUCGACCCCUAAGGCGAGGCCGAAAGGCGUAGUCGAUGGGAAACAGGUUAAUAUUCCUGUACUUGGUGUUACUGCGAAGGGGGACGGAGAAGGCUAUGUUGGCCGGGCGACGGUUGUCCCGGUUUAAGCGUGUAGGCUGGUUUUCCAGGCAAAUCCGGAAAAUCAAGGCUGAGGCGUGAUGACGAGGCACUACGGUGCUGAAGCAACAAAUGCCCUGCUUCCAGGAAAAGCCUCUAAGCAUCAGGUAACAUCAAAUCGUACCCCAAACCGACACAGGUGGUCAGGUAGAGAAUACCAAGGCGCUUGAGAGAACUCGGGUGAAGGAACUAGGCAAAAUGGUGCCGUAACUUCGGGAGAAGGCACGCUGAUAUGUAGGUGAAGUCCCUCGCGGAUGGAGCUGAAAUCAGUCGAAGAUACCAGCUGGCUGCAACUGUUUAUUAAAAACACAGCACUGUGCAAACACGAAAGUGGACGUAUACGGUGUGACGCCUGCCCGGUGCCGGAAGGUUAAUUGAUGGGGUCAGCGCAAGCGAAGCUCUUGAUCGAAGCCCCGGUAAACGGCGGCCGUAACUAUAACGGUCCUAAGGUAGCGAAAUUCCUUGUCGGGUAAGUUCCGACCUGCACGAAUGGCGUAAUGAUGGCCAGGCUGUCUCCACCCGAGACUCAGUGAAAUUGAACUCGCUGUGAAGAUGCAGUGUACCCGCGGCAAGACGGAAAGACCCCGUGAACCUUUACUAUAGCUUGACACUGAACAUUGAGCCUUGAUGUGUAGGAUAGGUGGGAGGCUUUGAAGUGUGGACGCCAGUCUGCAUGGAGCCGACCUUGAAAUACCACCCUUUAAUGUUUGAUGUUCUAACGUGGACCCGUAAUCCGGGUUGCGGACAGUGUCUGGUGGGUAGUUUGACUGGGGCGGUCUCCUCCUAAAGAGUAACGGAGGAGCACGAAGGUUGGCUAAUCCUGGUCGGACAUCAGGAGGUUAGUGCAAUGGCAUAAGCCAGCUUGACUGCGAGCGUGACGGCGCGAGCAGGUGCGAAAGCAGGUCAUAGUGAUCCGGUGGUUCUGAAUGGAAGGGCCAUCGCUCAACGGAUAAAAGGUACUCCGGGGAUAACAGGCUGAUACCGCCCAAGAGUUCAUAUCGACGGCGGUGUUUGGCACCUCGAUGUCGGCUCAUCACAUCCUGGGGCUGAAGUAGGUCCCAAGGGUAUGGCUGUUCGCCAUUUAAAGUGGUACGCGAGCUGGGUUUAGAACGUCGUGAGACAGUUCGGUCCCUAUCUGCCGUGGGCGCUGGAGAACUGAGGGGGCUGCUCCUAGUACGAGAGGACCGGAGUGGACGCAUCACUGGUGUUCGGGUUGUCAUGCCAAUGGCACUGCCCGGUAGCUAAAUGCGGAAGAGAUAAGUGCUGAAAGCAUCUAAGCACGAAACUUGCCCCGAGAUGAGUUCUCCCUGACUCCUUGAGAGUCCUGAAGGAACGUUGAAGACGACGACGUUGAUAGGCCGGGUGUGUAAGCGCAGCGAUGCGUUGAGCUAACCGGUACUAAUGAACCGUGAGGCUUAACCUU
rnacentral:rRNA from 1 species